GGGGAAUCUUCCGCAAUGGACGAAAGUCUGACGGAGCAACGCCGCGUGAGUGAUGAAGGUCCUCGGAUUGUAAAGCUCUGUUAAUCGGGACGAAAGAGUUCUGUGUGAAUAAUGCAGAAAAGUGACGGUACCGGAAUAGAAAGCCACGGCUAACUACGUGCCAGCAGCCGCGGUAAUACGUAGGUGGCAAGCGUUGUCCGGAAUUAUUGGGCGUAAAGCGCGCGCAGGCGGCCUAUCCAGUCUGUCUUAAAAGUUCGGGGCUCAACCCCGUGAUGGGAUGGAAACUAGUAGGCUAGAGUAUCGGAGAGGAAAGCGGAAUUCCUAGUGUAGCGGUGAAAUGCGUAGAUAUUAGGAAGAACACCAGUGGCGAAGGCGGCUUUCUGGACGAAAACUGACGCUGAGGCGCGAAAGCCAGGGGAGCGAACGGGAUUAGAUACCCCGGUAGUCCUGGCCGUAAACGAUGGGUACUAGGUGUAGGAGGUAUCGACCCCUUCUGUGCCGGAGUUAACGCAAUAAGUACCCCGCCUGGGGAGUACGGUCGCAAGGCUG
rnacentral:rRNA from 1 species